GAUUUUUGGGAGUGAAAGUAUACAAGCAGAUGGUGACAUCAACAAGAAUAGUGGAGUGCCUGGACAUCAGCAUCAGAUCAAUUUGGAAUUUCAUGCAAAUAAAACACACCAACUUAAUGGGAUGUGAAAGAGUUGGCUUCAAAAUAAAUCCUUGUUGAAAGGCACUGGAAUUACAUUUGAAAUGGAAGUGAAACAAAGUUGAAUUUUAUGGCACUGGCUUACAGGCUCUGUCUUGCACUGUUUACAGAUUGACCCAAAUAAAGUGAAGAAGACCAGAAUCAGGACCCAUCCUGGCAUAUACCUUUCACCUGAUAACAUCUGUUGGUUC
rnacentral:lncRNA from 1 species